GAGCUCACUUUGACAGCACAUACACUAAAAUUAGAACAACGCAGAGAAAAUUAGCAUGGCCCCUGCACAAGGAUGACACACAAAUUAGGGAAGCAGUCCAUAUUUUU